UACGUAGGGACCGAGCGUUGUCCGGAAUCAUUGGGCGUAAAGAGCGUGUAGGCGGCUUGUUAAGUCUUGCGUGAAAUCUCGGGGCUCAACCCCGAGCGGUCGUGAGAAACUGGCAGGCUAGAGUGCGGGAGAGGAGAGUGGAAUUCCUGGUGUAGCGGUGAAAUUCGUAGAUAUUAGGAAGAACACCAGUGGCGAAGGCGGCUCACUGGCCCGGUACUGACGCUGAGGCGCGAAAGCGUGGGGAGCAAACAGG
rnacentral:rRNA from 1 species